CAAUGGUGAUUUUCUUUGGCACAGAACAGGAUGAUUUAGGCAAGGAUUUUUUGUACUUGAAGUGCCAACCUUUUCAAAUUUUAAAUAAAUUCAUUACAGCUCAUCCUAUAUAAAAACAAGAGGCUCUCAAGAGCCUGAAUCGCUCACCUGAAUUUUUUUGGUUUAAUCUCUCAUCAAUGAUUAUUUUGGCUUUUCAAUUUAUUUAAAUGUUCUUGAAAUCGUCCUAUUCUCUUCAAAAGCCAAAAAAAAAAUCAAUUUCUCCUAUGUUCUAUUUUAGCCAUAGGAGCUAUGUUUCUUGACAUACAAGGAAAUGAAAUAUAAAAUUUAUACUAGAUACUCUGAAACUCUGAAACUCAUUUAGCCUAAGUUUGGCUGAAAUUGAUACAGCAGUUUCAAAGGAGAAGAUUUUUUAAAGUAAGUCAACAUGAUGAACAAAUUGUUAAAAAAGUUUUUAAAGGGCAAUAACUCCUUAAGAGGUCAAUUGACAAUUUUGGUCAAAUUGACUUAUUUGUAGAUCUUACUUUGCUGAUCAUUUUUGCUGUUUACAGUUUAUCUUUAUCUAUAAUAAUAUUCAAGAUAAUGACCAAAAACUGCAAAAUUUCCUUAAAAUUACCAAUUAAGUGGCAGCAACCCCAACAAUGGUUUGUUUGAUUCAUCUGAAAAUUUCAGGGCUGAUAGAUCUUGACCUAAUGAACAUUUUUACCCCAUGUCAGAUUUGCUCUAAAUGCUUUCGUUUUUGAGAUAUAAGCCAAAAAACUGCAUUUGACCCCUAUGUUCUAUUUUAAGUAACGGCGGCCAUGUUUUUUGACGGAUCAAAAAUCGAAGCGCACACUUUGUGCAGGAUACUCUAAGGAACAAUCAUGCUAAGUUUCAUUCAAAUCCAUUCAGUAGUUUCAGAGGAGAAGAUUUUUUAAAGUUAGCAAAUAUGAUGAACAAAUUGUGAAAAAUUGCCAUUAAAGGACAAUAACCCCUUAAGGGGUCAAUUGACAAUUUUGGUCAUAUUAACUUAUUUGUAGAUCUUACUUUGCUGAUCAUUUUUGCUGUUUACAGUUUAUCUUUAUCUAUAAUAAUAUUCAAGAUAAUGACCAAAAACUGCAAAAUUUCCCUUAAAAUUACCAAUUAAGUGGCAGCAACCCAACAAUGGUUUGUUUGAUUCAUCUGAAAAUUUCAGGGCUGAUAGAUCUUGACCUAAUGAACAUUUUUACCCCUGUCAGAUUUGCUCUAAAUGCUUUCGUUUUCGAGAUAUAAGCCAAAAACUGCAUUUGACCCCUAUGUUCUAUUUUAGGUAACGGCGGCCAUGUUUUUUGACGGAUCAAAAAUCGAAGCGCACACUUUGUGCAGGAUACUCUAAGGAACAAUCAUGCUAAGUUUCAUUCAAAUCCAUUCAGUAGUUUCAGAGGAGAAGAUGUUUGAAAAAUUGUUAACGACGACAGACGACGACGACGACGACGGACGCCAAGUGAUAAGAAAAGCUCACAUGGCCUUUUAGGCCAGGUGAGCUAAUAAG
rnacentral:lncRNA from 1 species